rnacentral:rRNA from 1 species
AAGAGCACUCUAAGGAGACUGCCGGUGACAAACCGGAGGAAGGUGGGGAUGACGUCAAGUCCUCAUGGCCCUUAUGGGUAGGGCUUCACACGUCAUACAAUGGUCGGAACAGAGGGUUGCCAAACCGCGAGGUGGAGCCAAUCCCAGAAAACCGAUCGUAGUCCGGAUCGCAGUCUGCAACUCGACUGCGUGAAGCUGGAAUCGCUAGUAAUCGCGGAUCAGCAUGCCGCGGUGAAUACGUUCCCGGGUCUUGUACACACCGCCCGUCACACCAUGGGAGUGGGUUUCACCAGAAGUAGGUAGCCUAACCUGCGAAGGAGGGCGCUUACCACGGUGGGAUUCAUGACUGGGGUGAAGUCGUAACAAGGUAGCCGUAUCGGAAGGUGCGGCUGGAUCACCUCCUUUCUCG